UACGUAGGGUGCAAGCGUUGUCCGGAAUUACUGGGCGUAAAGCGCGUGUAGGCGGGUCUUUAAGUCAGGGGUGAAAUGCCAAGGCUCAACCUUGGAACUGCCUUUGAUACUGGAGAUCUUGAGUCCGGGAGAGGUGAGUGGAACUGCGAGUGUAGAGGUGAAAUUCGUAGAUAUUCGCAAGAACACCAGUGGCGAAGGCGGCUCACUGGCCCGAUACUGACGCUGAGACGCGAAAGCGUGGGGAGCGAACAGG
rnacentral:rRNA from 1 species